rnacentral:rRNA from 1 species
AUUGAACGCUGGCGGCAGGCCUAACACAUGCAAGUCGAGCGGAUGAGUGGAGCUUGCUCCAUGAUUCAGCGGCGGACGGGUGAGUAAUGCCUAGGAAUCUGCCUGGUAGUGGGGGACAACGUUUCGAAAGGAACGCUAAUACCGCAUACGUCCUACGGGAGAAAGUGGGGGAUCUUCGGACCUCACGCUAUCAGAUGAGCCUAGGUCGGAUUAGCUAGUUGGUGAGGUAAAGGCUCACCUAGGCGACGAUCCGUAACUGGUCUGAGAGGAUGAUCAGUAACACUGGAACUGGGACACGGUCCAGACUCCUACGGGAGGCAGCAGUGGGGAAUAUUGGACAAUGGGCGAAAGCCUGAUCCAGCCAUGCCGCGUGUGUGAAGAAGGUCUUCGGAUUGUAAAGCACUUUAAGUUGGGAGGAAGGGCAGUAAGUUAAUACCUUGCUGUUUUGACGUUACCAACAGAAUAAGCACCGGCUAACUUCGUGCCAGCCGCCGCCGUAACAC